GGGAAACAGAAAUCUCCCGAAGGAUCGAGAGGGAAGAAAAACAUUCACCAUGAUGAUGUUGAUGUUAUAGAAGAGAGAAGUAACAAGCAAUCUGCAGUUUUCUAUGAAUCAGCUGUUCGAUCAGAUUUGUUUGAUAAAGUGUUGCUAUGCAGUGGAGGGAAAAAUGAAUCUGCUCUUCGUGAGUCCUGGCAGGUGGUAUCAAGUAAACAUGCUCCAGAGAACGUCCUUCCAAAGGGAUCUAACGGUAGGAAGUCCCGUGGAAAGAAACAGGGGGGUAAAAGAGAUGCAGUAGACUUGAGAACCAUCUUGACACUUGGCGCGCAAGCUGUUGCUGCAGAUGAUCGAAGGACAGCAAAUGAGUUUCUGAAGCAGAUUAGGCAGAAUUCUUCUCCGACGGGGGAUGGGAUGCAGAGGCUGGCCCAUUAUUUCGCCAAUGGUCUUGAGGCACGGAUGGCUGGUUCCGGUACUCAUAUCUAUAAAGCCCUUAUUACACGGCCUGUAUCAGCAGCUGAUGUCUUGAAAGCGUACCAUCUACUGCUUGCUGCCUGCCCAUUCAGGACUAUGUCUAGCUUUUUCUCAAAUAAG
rnacentral:misc_RNA from 1 species